UCUGGUGACUAUAGCAAGGAGGUCACACCUGUUCCCAUGCCGAACACAGAAGUUAAGCUCCUUAGCGUCGAUGGUAGUCGAACUUACGUUCCGCUAGAGUAGAAUGUUGCCAGGC
rnacentral:rRNA from 1 species